UGCAGAUCCAGUGUCUGUGCAAAUCAGUCCUCCAAACAAUGUCCCAACUCUAAACCUGACCCUGGAUCUGCUGUGCCAUGGUGCUCCACCUGGAGGCUUCUCGGGCCCACCGCAGCUGUCGGACCCGGUGGUCUGGUACAAAGAUGGACAGAAAAUGACUCCACGACGUGAACAUACGAAACAACGUCACGCUUCACUUAGACUCACUGCUGCUGGAUUAUACAUGUGUGAGAUUACGGUUCACCAGACAAGAGUUUUCAGCCGGGGUUAUCUGCUCAGCUUUGAUGCGUUAGCAUCAGUGGACCUGACACCGUGUUUCCCGGCAGAUUGAGUGAAUUCACCUGCUUCACGAGCUGCACCCUAAACGUGGACUGUACGGUCAGAUGGACGUUCAGGCAGGGUUUCCCCAUCGGUACCUACUUCUCAGUGAACCAGAAUAAGCUCAAGUGGACUCCCUCAAACCCUGGUACCUUCCAGAACUUCACCUGUGUUGCAGAAAAUGCAGCUGCUGGACGCUCCGCUGAGGCCACAAAGAUGGUAGAAGUUAAAGGUGUUCCUGUCUCUGGAUCAGAGGCAGCUCAGUGGACCUUCCACAUUGAUGCUGAGCUUGGGGCUGCUGCUGCUUUCUGGUUCAUAAAGCUAUUAAAUUGUAUUACCUUUAAAGUUUAAAUUAGUCUAUUUGUCCUAUCAAAAUUCACUUCUUUGCCUAUAUCUUUCAUUUUUCUUUCUUUUAUAAAUACAGUGGUUCAGCAAUUCCAAUACAUUUCAUUCAUUCAUCAAUCAUGUUGUGUUAUAAAAUGCUGUGAAAAUGAUUACAAUGAAAUCAAAGUGUACAAAAGAGAAUGACAAAAGUAAAUGUGUUUAAAAUAAAGUCCAUAUCAACCUUAAAACUGCAGGAUGGCAAACAAAAUAUUAUUAAAAUACAAAUUGAUAUAAGAUAAUAAUACAAUUUAUUUAUAUAGCACCUUUCAGAACAAAGUUACAAAGUGCUUUCUAAUAAAACAGAACACAUUUAAAACUACAUAAAGAAAAAAUGAACUAGAAAUAAUAGAUCAAUUAAAAAGAAAUGAUCUUAAAAGUGAAUUUAAAGUAGAAAGACUUUGCAGACCUGACAGUAUAUGCAUGAC